rnacentral:rRNA from 1 species
UGCAAGUCGAGCGAUGAAAUUUCGACAGAUCCCUUCGGGGUGAAGAUGAAAUGGAUUAGCGGCGGACGGGUGAGUAACACGUGAGUAACCUGCCUUUGACAUUGGGAUAGCCUCGGGAAACUGGGAUUAAUACCAAAUGACACUAACUGAUCACAUGAUCAAUUAGUCAAAGAAAUUCGGUCAAAGAUGGACUCGCGGCUGAUUAGCUAGUUGGUGAGGUAACGGCCCACCAAGGCGACGAUCAGUAGCCGGCCUGAGAGGGUGAUCGGCCACAUUGGAACUGAGACACGGUCCAAACUCCUACGGGAGGCAGCAGUGGGGAAUAUUGCACAAUGGGGGAAACCCUGAUGCAGCGACGCCGCGUGAGCGAAGAAGGCCUUCGGGUCGUAAAGCUCUUUUAUGAGGGAAGAUAAUGACGGUACCUCAAGAAAAAGCCCCGGCUAACUACGUGCCAGCAGCCGCGGUAAUACGUAGGGGGCUAGCGUUGUCCGGAAUCACUGGGCGUAAAGGGUUCGCAGGCGGAAUAACAAGUCAGAUGUGAAAGGCAUGGGCUCAACCCAUGUAAGCAUUUGAAACUGUAAUUCUUGAGAAGUGGAGAGGUAAGUGGAAUUCCUAGUGUAGCGGUGAAAUGCGUAGAUAUUAGGAGGAAUACCUGUGGCGAAGGCGACUUACUGGACACAAAUCUGACGCUGAGGAACGAAAGCGUGGGUAGCAAACAGGAUUAGAUACCCUGGUAGUCCACGCCGUAAACGAUGAGUGCUAGGUGUCGGGG